rnacentral:rRNA from 1 species
UACGUAGGGUGCGAGCGUUAAUCGGAAUUACUGGGCGUAAAGCGUGCGUAGGUGGUUCGUUGUGUCUGUGGUGAAAGCCCCGGGCUUAACCUGGGAAUGGCGAUGGAUACUGGCUCGCUAGAGUGCGGUAGAGGGUGGUGGAAUUCCCGGUGUAGCAGUGAAAUGCGUAGAGAUCGGGAGGAACAUCAGUUGCGAAGGCGGCCACCUGGACCAGCACUGACACUGAGGCACGAAAGCGUGGGGAGCAAACAGG